rnacentral:rRNA from 1 species
GACGAGCCUCACAAACGUUAUUCGGAAUCACUGGGCUUAAAGGGUGCGUAGGCGGUGUGGAAAGUCGGAUGUGAAAUACCUCAGCUUAACUGAGGAACUGCACUCGAUACUUCCAUGCUAGAGUAAGACAGAGGUGAGUGGAACUGAGGGUGGAGCGGUGAAAUGCGUUGAGAUGUGGAGGAACACCGAUGGCGAAGGCAGCCCCCUGGGCCGAUACUGACGCUCAUGCACGAAAGCGUGGGGAGCAAACAGG